CUUACACAUGCAAGUCGAACGGUAACAGGGAGCUUGCUCCGCUGACGAGUGGCGAACGGGUGAGUAAUAUAUCGGAACGUGCCUGAUAGUGGGGGACAACUAGUCGAAAGAUUAGCUAAUACCGCAUACGCCCUACGGGGGAAAGGGGGGGACUCGCAAGAGCCUCUCGCUAUCAGAGCGGCCGAUAUCUGAUUAGCUAGUUGGUGAGGUAAAGGCUCACCAAGGCUUCGAUCAGUAGCUGGUCUGAGAGGACGACCAGCCACACUGGGACUGAGACACGGCCCAGACUCCUACGAGAGGCAGCAGUGGGGAAUUUUGGACAAUGGGCGCAAGCCUGAUCCAGCAAUGCCGCGUGAGUGAAGAAGGCCUUCGGGUUGUAAAGCUCUUUUGUCAGGGAAGAAACGGUUCUGGAUAAUACCUGGGGCUAAUGACGGUACCUGAAGAAUAAGCACCGGCUAACUACGUGCCAGCAGCCGCGGUAAUACGUAGGGUGCAAGCGUUAAUCGGAAUUACUGGGCGUAAAGCGUGCGCAGGCGGUUGUGUAAGACAGGUGUGAAAUCCCCGGGCUUAACCUGGGAAUGGCAUUUGUGACUGCACGGCUAGAGUGUGUCAGAGGGGGGUAGAAUUCCACGUGUAGCAGUGAAAUGCGUAGAGAUGUGGAGGAAUACCGAUGGCGAAGGCAGCCCCCUGGGAUAACACUGACGCUCAUGCACGAAAGCGUGGGGAGCAAACAGGAUUAGAUACCCUGGUAGUCCACGCCCUAAACGAUGUCUACUA
rnacentral:rRNA from 1 species